AAAAGGGAAUGCCUCAGUAACGGGCGAGUGAAGCGGCAAAAGCUCAAAUUUGAAAUCCCCCGGGAAUUGUAAUUUGAAGAGAUUUGGGUCCGGCCGGCAGGGGUUAAGUCCACUGGAAAGUGGCGCCACAGAGGGUGACAGCCCCGUGAGCCCCUCUAAAGCCUCCACCCCAGAUCUCCAAGAGUCGAGUUGUUUGGGAAUGCUGCUCUAAGUGGGUGGAAUAUUCCAUCUAAAGCUAAAUACCGGCGAGAGACCCCUAGCGAACAAGUACAGUGAUGGAAAGAUGAAAAGCACUUUGAAACCAGAGUGAAAAAGUACGUGAAAUUGUUGAAAGGGAAAGGCUUGUGCGCAUAAACCAUUCAGAGACACCAUACGGGGCGAGCAUAAAAUGCCAGUCC
rnacentral:rRNA from 1 species